CAUCACUAUCCUCCAAGGCUAUUUACCAGAAAGGACAGAGGCAAUCAGGGCCUCUGCUCUCCUGACACACAGGAAGGUGAGACAUCCAUGAGGAAUCGUCACCUGACAUGAUGAGAAAGUUGCAAGAAAAUACAUCAAGAAUGAAAAUCACAAUGGAUGAAGAUGCUGUGUAAGGAAGACACUACCUGUUCCUUCAAGCUUCCUUCAGAGCCUCUUGGAACACUUGCCUGUGACACUCAGCUUCUAGGCUUUGAAGAGGCCCAGGAAAGCAUGUGGAAAGAUCUACAUGGAAAGAACCGAGGUCCCCAACUGACAGGCUAGUUGAGUAACCAUCCAAGAGCCAGUGGCACUUAGACAAAUCUGACUAAACCACUUUGAGUCACACCAGCUGACACUAUGUGGAACAAAGUAAAGCUGUCCCUGUUGCAUCUUCCUCCAACUGAA